rnacentral:rRNA from 1 species
UACAGAGGGUGCGAGCGUUGUCCGGAAUCACUGGGCGUAAAGGGCGCGUAGGCGGCUUGAUAAGUAGGGGGUGAAAUCUUGCGGCUCAACUGCAAGGCUGCCUCCUAAACUGUCAGGCUUGAGCACAGUAGAGGCAGGUGGAAUUCCCGGUGUAGCGGUGGAAUGCGUAGAGAUCGGGAAGAACAUCGGUGGCGAAGGCGGCCUGCUGGGCUGCUGCUGACGCUGAGGCGCGACAGCGUGGGGAGCAAACAGG